AACAGGGUAGGCACAGUGGUUUAAGAGUUGGACUAUGACUCUGGAGGCCAGGGUUCAAAUCCCAGCUCAGUCA